rnacentral:tRNA from 1 species
UCCCGCGUAGCUCAGUGGUAGAGCGACCGGCUGUUAACCGGUUGGCCGUAGGUUCGAGUCCUACCGCGGGAGCCA